rnacentral:lncRNA from 1 species
AUAAUCUUCCCUUCGGCCCUAGCAUUCUAACCUGAGCUAAUUUGGUUCUGUUUCCAAUUCAGAGUUUGGCUCUGUUUUGUCAUGGCGACGAAAAAUUUGGUAUUCUUAUCCUUGUAGUCAGUAGGUCCAUUCUGUAUCGUUGUCUCGUGUCCUCGUCUUGCAUCGGUAUUAGCAGUUCUGAUUUUUUAAUAUUCAUAUUUAAGCCUAACCUGAGCUAUUACAUCAAAUGAGUUUAUUUCUAGAACCCUCUCUCCUCCUUCUGAAUUCCUUUCUCGACUUGCGUUAUUUCCUUUCUUGCUAUUAAUGUACCACAUGCGCUGAUAGAUGGAGAUCUUCUAAAAGAAGAACGAACGCAACUGCUAAUCCAGUGCUAAUUAAAUUUUACGGACAACCUGUGACGAAAAGGGAUAUCAAUGAAUGGGCGAAGGUGAUUAAUGAAACCAAAACAACCAAGGUAUGAAAGAAUCUUGAAGAAGAAUUAUCGUCUCGUUUAGAAAUUUAUGCAAAGUCGAUACGUUUGCGAAAUUUCAAAAAGUAUAAUCAGAUCCUUAGCUGAUAAUCUAACCGGGUUAGAAAAUAAGAGGAAGAUUAGAGGAGGUAAGAUUUUUUUAAAAUAAAAAUAGAGGCAAGGGCUUCAGAAUGAAAGAGGAAGAAGAACAUUUGGUUUUAAAACAGCAUUGGCAUUGAGUGAUUGAUAGCAGAAAGAAAGUAAAGAAAGCAUUGUGCAGACAUUUAGUAAGAGCAGCAAAGUAAGUUUUUAAAAAAUAACUCAGGCGUGGCAGGAUAUUAGUCCGUGGAGUUUGGAAGUGGGGUCUAAGAGUACAGUUGAACGGUUGAACAUGUGUCGAGGUUUGAGUGGGGAGAAGGAGGUCCAGCAAACUGCAGGCAGACAAUCCUGAGCGUCUACUUAUUCACGAGACUUAAAAUGCAGGCAGACAUGCUGUUACAUCUUCCAGGAUUGGAUUCCUGGAAGAGAUAAAGAAAGAAGAAAGUGGAAUAAAUGUUAUGAUGUGACAUCACUAGCCUCACAUCACUGUGCACUGUCAACACAAUUCGAGAUUUCCUUCUCAUUGCGACUAUAUCGAUCACCCUUAAAUUCUGUGAUUUCUGCUGAUGGCCCUUAAUUUUUUAAGUUGGUAACUGGUAAGUACCCAACUAACUUACUGCGCGCUAUGAA